rnacentral:rRNA from 2 species
AUCAGCGGCGGACGGGUGAGUAACACGUGGGUNACCUGCCUGUAAGACUGGGAUAACUCCGGGAAACCGGGGCUAAUACCGGAUAACUCAGUUCCUCGCAUGAGGAACUGUUGAAAGGUGGCUUUUAGCUACCACUUACAGAUGGACCCGCGGCGCAUUAGCUAGUUGGUGAGGUAACGGCUUGCCAAGGCGACGAUGCGUAGCCGACCUGAGAGGGUGAUCGGCCACACUGGGACUGAGACACGGCCCAGACUCCUACGGGAGGCAGCAGUAGGGAAUCUUCCGCAAUGGACGAAAGUCUGACGGAGCAACGCCGCGUGAGUGAAGAAGGUUUUCGGAUCGUAAAACUCUGUUGUUAGGGAAGAACAAGUGCCGUUCGAAUAGGGCGGCACCUUGACGGUACCUAACCAGAAAGCCACGGCUAACUACGUGCCAGCAGCCGC